rnacentral:rRNA from 1 species
UGGGGAAUCUUCCGCAAUGGACGAAAGCCUGACGGAGCAACGCCGCGUGAGUGAUGACGGCCUUCGGGUUGUAAAGCUCUGUGAUCGGGGACGAACGGUCAGCAGACGAAUACUCUGCUGAAGUGACGGUACCCGAAUAGCAAGCCACGGCUAACUACGUGCCAGCAGCCGCGGUAAUACGUAUGGAGCAAGCGUUAUCCGGAUUUACUGGGUGUAAAGGGAGUGUAGGCGGCUUUGCAAGUCAGAUGUGAAAGCCCGGGGCUCAACCCCGGGACUGCAUUUGAAACUGUGAAGCUGGAGUGUCG